rnacentral:sRNA from 1 species
CGUGCUUCUGCUGCGAGGCCGCUGCAUCGUAGACGAGGCCAUGCUCACAGGGGAGUCUGUGCCACAGAUGAAGGAGCCCAUCGAAGACCUCAACCCAGACCGGGUGCUGGACCUCCAGGCUGACUCCCGGCUACACGUCAUCUUCGGGGGCACCAAAGUGGUGCAGCACAUCCCCCCACAGAAAGCCACCACAGGCCUGAAGCCGGUUGACAGCGGGUGUGUGGCCUACGUCCUGCGGACUGGAUUCAACACAUCCCAGGGCAAGCUGCUGCGCACCAUCCUCUUCGGGGUCAAGAGGGUGACUGCGAACAACCUGGAGACCUUCAUCUUCAUCCUCUUCCUCCUGGUGUUUGCCAUCGCUGCAGCCGCCUAUGUAUGGAUUGAAGGUAAACGCCACGGCCUCUGUGGUCCCCUGCGCCCGCCCUCCGAGGCUCCAGGCUGGCAGGCCCUGUCUCCACAGGUACCAAGGACCCCAGCCGGAACCGCUACAAGCUGUUUCUGGAGUGCACCCUGAUCCUCACCUCGGUCGUGCCUCCUGAGCUGCCCAUCGAGCUGUCCCUGGCCGUCAACACCUCCCUCAUUGCCCUGGCCAAGCUCUGUGAGUGUGUCAAAUGGGGUAGGGUGCCAAGUGGGCUGGGGCCAAGCAGGACCCCUGACCUCACUCCCGCCCCUAGACAUGUACUGCACAGAGCCCUUCCGGAUCCCCUUUGCUGGCAAGGUCGAGGUGUGCUGCUUUGACAAGACGGGGACCUUGACCAGUGACAGCCUGGUGGUGCGCGGUGUGGCCGGGCUGAGAGACGGGAAGGAGGUGACCCCAGUGUCCAGCAUCCCUGUAGAAACACACCGGGCCCUGGCCUCGUGCCACUCGCUCAUGCAGCUGGACGACGGCACCCUCGUGGGUGAUCCUCUAGAGAAGGCCAUGCUGACGGCCGUGGACUGGACGCUGACCAAAGUGCCCUGAAGCGAAUGUCCGUGCUUGCCUCGUAUGAGAAGCUGGGCUCCACCGACCUCUGCUACAUCGCGGCCGUGAAGGGGGCCCCCGAAACCCUGCACUCCAUGGUGAGCUGGCCCCAGCCUGGGGCAAGGGGUAGGGGUGCGGGGCAGCCCGUGACAUCCCCCUGCAUUCCCUGCAGUUCUCCCAGUGCCCGCCCGACUACCACCACAUCCACACCGAGAUCUCCCGGGAAGGAGCCCGCGUCCUUGCGCUGGGGUACAAGGAGCUGGGACACCUCACUCACCAGCAGGCCCGGGAGGUCAAGCGGGAGGCCCUGGAGUGCAGCCUCAAGUUCGUCGGCUUCAUUGUGGUCUCCUGCCCGCUCAAGGCCGACUCCAAGGCCGUGAUCCGGGAGAUCCAGAAUGCGUCCCACCGGGUGGUCAUGAUCACGGGAGACAACCCGCUCACUGCAUGCCACGUGGCCCAGGAGCUGCACUUCAUUGAAAAGGCCCACACGCUGAUCCUGCAGCCUCCCUCUGAGAAAGGUGAGGCCCUAGCCCGGCCCACAGUGGGGAAGGGGGACCCUGAGUCCAAGAACAGCUCCCAUCGCAACAGCCCACCUGUGUGCCAGGCCUCAGCAGCAGAGUGUCUUCAAAUGCCUGGCACCACGUUGGCACCACUAAUCACAGCCCUGGCCCACUGGGCACCUCGGACAGCAUGUGAGCGUUCACUGGGUCACAGGUCCCAGGAUGUGCGGCAUGUAGGUGUUUAUUUACCAUAAUUAGGCGAUAGUCUGACUGCCAGCUCUGGUUUCCUGUGCACUCAUGGGCAGAUACUGCUCCUACCACGCUUACUCCCCAUCCUCAGCGUCAUCCUCAUUUCACACCCUCUUUGGCCUGGCAAGCUGCCCAUGUACCGAGUGCUCCCUUCCCGAGCACAGGGACUGCUGGCAUCCUCAGCCACAGUUGAUGGCACAGUUUGCCCAGUGCUCAGCCUGACCAGACCCCAGGCGGAGCACUCUAUGCGUGGUACUGCGUUGGUUCCUCCACCCCAUCCUGCACCACAGGGGGUGGCUUGCCUUCCCCACACCACAGAGGAGGAAGCUGGCUGGGUCAGCUCUCGGGGCCCCUGCUUUGUAGAGAAGGGACAGAGGCUCAGAAGUGAACCCACUUGCCCAGGUCACUUGAUGUCCCCAUGGCUAAGGAUUGGAAUCCAGACAGCCUGACUCUAGAGCUCAAGGCUCCAACCUCUCCCCGGUGACCUCUUUGAGCAAUGCCCUGGAUUCAGAUUGAUGAAGAGGCAGACAUAGAGACCCAGCCCCUCCCAGCUAGAGGUGUGGGGCUUACCAGAUACCUGCCCCAGGGCUAGAGGUGAAGCCCCCGUGGGCACAUGCAGUUCAGGAACUGCAUGAGUGUUGACAGGGCCCUAAGAAGAACCACAUGGAGCAGUGUUGCCACAGGGCUGCUGGCAGCAAACAUUCACAGGUCUGGGCCAGAGCAGCUUCCAGAACCUCCAGGCCACCUCUCAGAGGACUUGGUCCCUGCCCUCCCUCUGUUCUGUUGGUCCCAGGCCUCCCCCUGUCCCAGCCCCAGCUACCGGGGUCUUCCAGGGCCUGGGGAUUGUGGGCAGGUGGCAUGGAGCAGAUGAACAGGACUGUUGACAAGCGAAGCUGGUCUAGCAACAGCUGCAGCACAAGCCAGGUGGAGGUGUGCUGUCCUUCAGCUUGAGAUGGUCCAGGGUGAGCAGGCCAGUGCCAGGAGGGCUGGUGGGCCGCCCUUGGCCAUCCUCAGUGCCCAGCAUCCAACCCAGGGCCAGCCAGCAAGAAAGGGGGGAAGUGGAGCAAGAAGACGUUGAGAACUCAGGGGUCCUGUCAGAGUGGGGAGGGGGCCCAGCCCUGAGAAAACAGGAUUUCAGAGAGGCCAAGGGCGCAGGGAUAAAUGAGGUGAGGGCCUGGUGUGGGGUUUCCCAAGGAGAGUGCAAUAGCCUCCUUCUGUGUGUUUCAGGUUGGGGGGCCUUGCAUGAGGUGGGGGCAUGGCUUAGCUGGGGUCAGACUGCCCAGGUUCUAAUCUGGCUGUGUCCCAUGCUCUCAGGCAAGUAGCUCAGGCCCCAGGCUCUUGGUUCCACCCUGCACACCUGAGGGACAUUCUUUCUGGAGUCCCCAGAGAAGGGCUGGGGGUCACCUGGGUGGGUAGGGAGGUGCGGGCUCCAGAGAGGAGAGACUGGCCGGUGCUGGGGUCCGAGUGGAGGGAGGGUGCUUCUGAGCCCGGGCAGCCAAUCCCCCAGCCCUAACCCUAGGUGCUGCCCGCAGGCCGGCAGUGCAAGUGGCGCUCCAUUGACGGCAGCAUCGUGCUGCCCCUGGCCCGGGGUUCCCCAAAGGCACUGGCCCUGGAGUACGCACUGUGCCUCACAGGCGACGGCUUGGCCCACCUGCAGGCCACCGACCCCCAGCAGCUGCUCCGUCUCAUCCCCCACGUGCAGGUGUUUGCCCGUGUGGCCCCCAAGCAGAAGGUAUGUGCACAGCCCUAGGGGUCAGGGGUACAGACGUAGGCACGCAGCCCCUGCUCAGCCUGUCUCCGCCCACACAGGAGUUUGUCAUCACCAGCCUGAAGGAGCUGGGCUACGUGACCCUCAUGUGUGGGGAUGGCACCAACGACGUGGGCGCCCUGAAGCACGCUGAUGUGGGUGUGGCGCUCUUGGCCAACGCCCCUGAGCGGGUUGUUGAUCGGCGACGGCGGCCCCGGGACAGCCCAACCCUGAGCAACAGUGGCAUCAGAGCCACCUCCAGGACAGCCAAGCAGCGGUCGGGGCUCCCUCCCUCUGAGGAGCAGCCAACCUCCCAGAGGGUGAGUCCCAAGAGGGGAGGUGCUGCACCCCAUCCUGGCCAGGGCUAACAGCCUGCUGCCUACCCUGCAGGACCGCCUGAGCCAGGUGCUGCGAGACCUCGAGGACGAGAGCACGCCCAUUGUGAAACUGGGGGAUGCCAGCAUCGCAGCACCCUUCACCUCCAAGCUCUCGUCCAUCCAGUGCAUCUGCCACGUGAUCAAGCAGGGCCGCUGCACGCUGGUGACCACGCUACAGAUGUUCAAGAUCCUGGCGCUCAAUGCCCUCAUCCUGGCCUACAGCCAGAGCGUCCUCUACCUGGAGGGGGUCAAGUUCAGUGACUUCCAGGCCACCCUACAGGGGCUGCUGCUGGCCGGCUGCUUCCUCUUCAUCUCCCGUUCCAAGCCCCUCAAGACCCUCUCCCGAGAACGGCCCCUGCCCAACAUCUUCAACCUGUACACCAUCCUCACUGUCAUGCUCCAGUUCUUUGUGCACUUCCUGAGCCUUGUCUACCUGUACCGUGAGGCCCAGGCCCGGAGCCCCGAGAAGCAGGAGCAGUUCGUGGACUUGUACAAGGAGUUUGAGCCAAGCCUGGUCAACAGCACCGUCUACAUCAUGGCCAUGGCCAUGCAGAUGGCCACCUUCGCCAUCAACUACAAAGUAAGGCCUGGGACCCGCCUGAACAUCCCCUGUCUGCCCACCCAGCCCCACCCCAUGUAGCCAUCUGUCCCUCAUCCCCACAGGGCCCGCCCUUCAUGGAGAGCCUGCCCGAGAACAAGCCCCUGGUGUGGAGUCUGGCAGUUUCACUCCUGGCCAUCAUUGGCCUGCUCCUCGGCUCCUCGCCCGACUUCAACAGCCAGUUUGGCCUCGUGGACAUCCCUGUGGAGUUCAAGCUGGUCAUCGCCCAGGUCCUGCUCCUGGACUUCUGCCUGGCGCUCCUGGCCGACCGCGUCCUGCAGUUCUUCCUGGGGACCCCGAAGCUGAAAGUGCCUUCCUGAGAUGGCAGUGCUGGUACCCACUGCCCACCCUGGCUGCCGCUGGGCGGGAACCCCACCAGGGCCCCGGGAGGGAACCCUGCCCCCAACCCCCCACAGCAAGGCUGUACAGUCUCGCCCUUGGAAGACUGAGCUGGGACCCCCACAGCCAUCCGCUGGCUUGGCCAGCAGAACCAGCCCCAAGCCAGCACCUUUGGUAAAUAAAGCAGCAUCUGAGAUUUU